rnacentral:rRNA from 1 species
CUAGAGUUUGAWUCAUGGCUCAGGAUGAACGCUGGCGGCGUGCCUAAUACAUGCAAGUCGAGCGAACAGAUAAGGAGCUUGCUCCUUUGACGUUAGCGGCGGACGGGUGAGUAACACGUGGGUAACCUACCUAUAAGACUGGGAUAACUUCGGGAAACCGGAGCUAAUACCGGAUAACAUUUGGAACCGCAUGGUUCUAAAGUGAAAGAUGGUUUUGCUAUCACUUAUAGAUGGACCCGCGCCGUAUUAGCUAGUUGGUAAGGUAACGGCUUACCAAGGCGACGAUACGUAGCCGACCUGAGAGGGUGAUCGGCCACACUGGAACUGAGACACGGUCCAGACUCCUACGGGAGGCAGCAGUAGGGAAUCUUCCGCAAUGGGCGAAAGCCUGACGGAGCAACGCCGCGUGAGUGAUGAAGGGUUUCGGCUCGUAAAACUCUGUUAUUAGGGAAGAACAAACGUGUAAGUAACUGUGCAYGUCUUGACGGUACCUAAUCAGAAAGCCACGGCUAACUACGUGCCAGCAGCCGCGGUAAUACGUAGGUGGCAAGCGUUAUCCGGAAUUAUUGGGCGUAAAGCGCGCGUAGGCGGUUUCUUAAGUCUGAUGUGAAAGCCCACGGCUCAACCGUGGAGGGUCAUUGGAAACUGGGAAACUUGAGUGCAGAAGAGGAAAGUGGAAUUCCAUGUGUAGCGGUGAAAUGCGCAGAGAUAUGGAGGAACACCAGUGGCGAAGGCGACUUUCUGGUCUGUAACUGACGCUGAUGUGCGAAAGCGUGGGGAUCAAACAGGAUUAGAUACCCUGGUAGUCCACGCCGUAAACGAUGAGUGCUAAGUGUUAGGGGGUUUCCGCCCCUUAGUGCUGCAGCUAACGCAUUAAGCACUCCCGGCAG